CUCCCAAAGACAAGCAGCAUAAAUCCCUACUUGUCCAAGGAACUCAACGAAAUUUCCCAGAAUGUUUCAGAUUGUUCUGCUCUUGUUUCUCACAGUGAAAAUUUGGGCUUGCAGGUGGUUAAAGAGGCAAUAAUAUUGUUUGUUCUGCGAUGAGAAUGGGAAAGGAACAACUAUUCCCAAGAAAUUGCACAUCAGUAGCCACCCUGAAGUGUUAAGGUCACAUUUCAAUGUUCCUAGAGUAAACUUGGUAGAAAGCCUCAAAGGCAAGAUGGAAGUCUAUAUACUUCCUCUGCAGAUGAAGACAUAAAGUCUAUUUUCAGCAUUAGUGAACGUGAUGGGGAUGCUACUGGAGAGAGAGUUCGACCGGAGACAACAGGAUGAAAAGUCACAGCCCUGCCCCCAGGACGGGAAACACCAUUUCUACUCAAGAAUGGCCAUGCUGGUUGACUCAUGAGGAGAAGCCUUCUGCAAAAAAGAUAUGGAGGAAAAGUGGUGGGUUUGAAGAAACAUCAGAAAUUGCACCCAGAGAAUCUGGAGGGCUUUGAAGAAUUCGUAAGUGUCUUCUCUAAAACCAACCUCCUCAAUGGAAGAAAAGCUGGUAAUACUGACAACCUUGCCACAGAGUCAUGGAUCCCAUAUGCAGCACACGCAGAUAGAGGCAAACACCGGCCAUGCAAGCCCUAGUGGUUUCUUCAUGGACUGCUAGCAAGUGAAAUGAAAUAUUGAUUCCCUUUUCCUAGACUACAGCAGAUUCUGAUACUUUUUCAUGACCAGACAAAGAAAGAAAUAAUAUUAAUUCAAAGAGUAAAGCUUCACCUAGCCUUGGAGAAUAGUGGUUUCAUUGUUAGAUAUGAACAAUUUUGUUUUGAUAGUCAUCUCAUUGUGUUGCCUGAUUGAUGUUGAAUUAACAAACUCAAAUACCCCUGCACACUCAGCCUUCCACAUAGCUAAGAGCAUACGCCUAGGAAACCACAAAUAUCUAGAACUUUCCGGCCUUUUUCAUCCA